rnacentral:rRNA from 1 species
UACGGGGGGGGUAAGCGUUGUUCGGAAUUACUGGGCGUAAAGGGCUCGUAGGCGGCCAACUAAGUCAUACGUGAAAUCCCUCAGCUUAACUGGGGAACUGCGUGUGAUACUGGAUGGCUUGGAUUUGGGAGAGGGAUGCGGAAUUCCAGGUGUAGCGGUGAAAUGCGUAGAUAUCUGGAGGAACACCGGUGGCGAAGGCGGCGUCCUGGACCAACACUGACACUGAAAAGCGAAAGCCAGGGGAGCAAACGGG